rnacentral:rRNA from 1 species
AGUUGUAUCCUGGCUCAGGACGAACGCUGGCGGCGUGUCUAAUACAUGCAAGUCGAGCGGAGAUUUGGGAGCUUGCUCCCGAAUCUUAGCGGCGGACGGGUGAGUAACACGUGGGCAACCUGCCCUGCAGACUGGGAUAACUCCGGGAAACCGGAGCUAAUACCGGGUAAUACAUAGCACCGCAUGGUGCAACGUUGAAAGUUGGCUUUCGAGCUAACACUGCAGGAUGGGCCCGCGGCGCAUUAGCUAGUUGGUAAGGUAAUGGCUUACCAAGGCGACGAUGCGUAGCCGACCUGAGAGGGUGAUCGGCCACACUGGGACUGAGACACGGCCCAGACUCCUACGGGAGGCAGCAGUAGGGAAUCUUCCGCAAUGGACGAAAGUCUGACGGAGCAACGCCGCGUGAGUGACGAAGGCCUUCGGGUCGUAAAGCUCUGUUGUUAGGGAAGAACAAGUACCGUUCGAAUAGGGCGGUGCCUUGACGGUACCUAACCAGAAAGCCACGGCUAACUACGUGCCAGCAGCCGCGGUAAUACGUAGGUGGCAAGCGUUGUCCGGAAUUAUUGGGCGUAAAGCGCGCGCAGGCGGUCUUUUAAGUCUGAUGUGAAAGCCCACGGCUCAACCGUGGAGGGUCAUUGGAAACUGGAGGACUUGAGUGCAGAAGAGGAGAGUGGAAUUCCACGUGUAGCGG